rnacentral:lncRNA from 1 species
GAAGGACGGCGGGGUGUAGGAGUCGAUCAGGGACGCAAGUUUCGGGUCGGAGCUCCGUAAGUGAUUUAGGGCGAGGGUAAUUUCGGAAUUGGAGGUUAAUGGGUUUAGAAUUUUGGGGAUUUCCGGGGAAGUUUGGAUGGUGAGCUUGGUGGUGGUGGUGGUGGUGAGUUUUAGGAUUUUUUGGGGUCGGAAUGGGAUUUUGGAUGAAGUUGAGGGGUUUUCGGGAAUCUGGGUCUGGGGUUUGGAUCGCUUGGCCAUAGAGAAAGGGAGAGAUGGGAAUCGGAGAUUGGAGUAAGCAAUUGUGGAGAUGAGGAGCAGAGAAGACUAGAGAGGCGCGUGUUAGUUACCCGCGCGCUUUUUAAGGCGGGGGAAAUGCGUUGUUAGGUUUUCAUUUUAUUCUUUAAAGGUUGACCAACCAGCCUGCCUAGGCCCAAUCAGACAGGCAUCCGCCUAGCCGGCCUAAUAGUCCGCCUAGCACGCUUGGGCCCAGUGCACUCAACUGUUUUUAUUUUUAUUUUUUCCACUUCAAAUUAUCAUCACAGAUUCAGAGAGAAAUUUUAAAUACACACCCCUAAUAUCUUAACAUACACCAUUUACUUAAUACACUACCAAUCAAGUUUUUCAUUUUAGUAUUAUACUUAAUACACAUCUCAAACUGUCUAAAAUGCCCUUAAUUUAUGAAAUUAAUAUUCCGUUAUUUAAUAUAAUUAAUAUAUAUUUACUAUUUGGUAUCUCUUUUUACAUAUUAUUUCGUCUAAUUUUUGCUAGAAAUUUUUGGUUAUCAUCAUUCAAUUUAUAAUUAGAUGAUUAUUGUUAUAUCUCAACUCUAAAUCACCAAUACAAGUUUUUAAAAUUCACAAGAGCACAACUGUAGAAGUACAGUAGCUAUUAAACAUAGAUAGCUAGUUAUUCGAUAAAACAUGUCAUGAUAAAAAUGCAGUAUUUGACAAUAUGAUAUGCAAGAUCAAACUAAAGAUCAAACUAAAGCUGAUAAAGAUGCAGUACUUGACAAUAUGAUCUGUAAGAUCAAAUUAAAGCUGAUACGGAUACAAAAAAAAAAAAAAAGCAACCAAAAUGAAUUGUGGAGAAGAAUUAGGGUUAUGGGAGAAGACAUGUUUUCGAAAAUUUUAGUGUAGAAGACGUUGAAAAGAAUACUUCUAGCGUGAUAUAUUUUUUUUUUAAUAAUAGAUGUAUGUUUUGGUCAUUUAGCUUACCUAUAAAAUCUCAAUAGAAACAUAAAAUAGUAAGGGUGUGUCUUAAGAGAUUAGGGGUGUGUAUUUAAAAUUUCUCCAGAUUCACAGCCAGGAGACAUAAUUUCAUUCAUGACCUAUAAGCAAAAGCGUGCCUAGUGCCUACACACGGGUUCCAGCCCAUCCUAAAUUUUGAAAAAUAUAGAUUUUUAGCUAAAUUUUAGUUUAAAAUGUUAAUAAUUAAAAAAUUAUGCAACCUCAAAUUUAUAAUUUUAGCUCGUAUGUUAUUAACUUAGUUCAUUUUUAACAUAAAUUAGUAUACUUUUCAUCAAAAAUAUACAUUUCUAGCUAAAGUUUAGUUCAAAAGGCUAAAAAUUAAAAACUACCCAUACCUCAAAUUUUCAAAUUUAACGCAUAUGUAAUUAAAUUUAGUCCAUAUUUGACAUAAAUUAGUACACGUUUAUUAAAAAGAAAAAUUAGCCCAACUUAUUAUAAAAUUCUGGAUCCGCCUUUGCCCAUAAGCAGCUAAAUACAAAGUUUAAUCUUACUUGAACAUUGGAAAUGGACUAUAUAAAAAGUAGACAUGCAGUAACAGAGAUACGAAGCAGAUAUUUGAGCUAGUGCUCGAUCACUCUUGAGCGAUGGAACAUCAUCUUAACUUUGAGCUCCAACAUCAUUCAGGGAGGCUAGGAAUCUCUUGAGACACCUGUUGUAAACACAAGGUCUUUCAAGGUGAACCAGAUGACCUGCUUUCUUUAUGCCUUUAAAUGUUGCAUUUGCUCCUAGUUGCCUGCAUACAAACAUUAGUGUUGUUCAAACCUUUCAUUAACCAGUGCAUAUAUAAUUAGUAUUUGGUGUUUGAUUAUAUACAAUUAGUAGAAAUAGUUAAAGUCAAUUGACGGACUUACUCUUUCAUUUUGUGAGCAAGCUCCUGCUUAAAUAUCUGAUCAUUUUCACCCCAUAAUAGAUGAAUUCUCUGCAAAUUAUAUUGGCAAGACAGAUGAGGUUAAUGAUCGAAAAAUAUAAUAAAAUGGAUGAUGAAAUAUUAAGGACACAGAACAUAUACAUUUGGAUUAAUUACCUGUGGGAAUUUGGGAAUGUUUGGAUCCUUUGUGUCAAUGACUAAAGCUUCAAGUAGUUCUUCCCUUUCCUUCCUGUUCGUGAACAUCACCUGUUGAUUGUUCGUAGCUAAAACACUUAGCGACAGCUACGUACAACUACAGAAACUUAAUUUGCUUCCUAAAUCGCAUAGUAUCUAACAGGCUAAGCCACGGAAAAUGUGCAGUUACCACACUCUAAAAAUCAAGUACGCUUAUCGAACCACAUCGAUCAAAUCGUCUCAUUACAAUUAUUCGAUGUCAUAGUCCUUCAAUUUAUUGCAUGAAAAUGAUAUCAAUUCAUAUAAAUCAUAUUUGUAACCAAUGUUCUAAAAAACGCUAGGCGCUAAUUGGGCGGACAGUCGGUUACUAACGCCUAGGCAGGUUAAUCGGGGAUUAAUCGGUUUCCUAGUUCUCUAGACGAAAACGGUGAAGCACCACCUAGCGCUUAGGCGGGGAUUAAUCAAUUAUAGGUGGUGAUUUUUAGAACAUUGUUUGUAACACAUAGACCGAGAGUGUUAGAAAUUUAGAGAAAAUUGUUAAAACAACCUAGUUCCAGUAUAUAUAACCUGUCAUCUCUCAACUAAAUUAGUAUAGGUGGCAUUCAUUUAACAUAUUCUAUUUUCGGUUCACUGUUUAUAGACUGUUCAUAAACACUGUUCACGUGAACAGUGUUGGGCUUGGGUGUUUAGGUUUUUUUUUUUUUUUUUUUUUUNNNNNNNNNNNNNNNNNNNNAGAGAUAAAUAACAAAACUAGGAAAAUAAAUACAAUACUGACUCAUCAAAUUCUUGAGAAAAUUGCAACGAUCCAAAAAUGGUCAUAAGAACUCUUGCAGAAAGAUCUGAAUACUGCAAAUAAAACAGAGGUAAAGUCUUUAUGUAUGUUUAUUGUAGGAAAUUAUUGGUUUUGAGAUUUAUGUGGAGUUUGAUUAUUCAAAAUGAAACAAAAUGUGGAGUCUUACUAACUACUGGUCUCAAUUUUGUUGCUUUUGUGGUUGCUUGAUUUUCUUUGGUAUAUAUGCACUUUUAUUAGUCUUUUCUUAUGUUUCCUUCUUUUAUAUAUAGAUCUAUAGGGUUUCUAUUGAUUUUCAGUUGAAGUCUCUUGCAUUUUGCGAUAAGUAAAAGAUUGAGUUAUGCUAGAACUUGAAUGACUUUUUGAUAAAGUUCAUAAUUUCAUAAAUGGACCAGGACUAUGGGGAUUAUAAGUUAUCAUAAAAUCUUAAAUCUUAAGGUGUAACACUAGAAUGAGAAAUACAUUUACAACAAUAUAGAGAUGGGGUAUUGAGAUGACAAAUAAUUAAAGAUACCGAAACAGUAGAUAAUUGAACGUAUGGAUAUAAAUUCUUUAAUAGACCUCAUUUAAUUAUUUUGCUUCUUUACGUAAACUUAGCUGGCUUUGGUCAAAAUGCUAAAGUAGAUACCACAUAUAUCAAGAAAUUAAAAUAUAUAAGAAGAGGGCAUGUGUUAUAGAGUAGUAAUGUUUUCUUGCCACAUAUAUGGUUUACUCUUUGGUGUGGUCUGUGACAGACAUUAAGAAUAUAUAGUAAAAUGGGAUUAUUGCUCUUUGUUUUGUUUUGUUUUUUUUUUUUGUCUGAAUAGCUUACUCAAUACAAUAUACUUCGUAUUUGAGUUAAUGGUGGUGCACUGGCUUUAAUGAAGGUAUGUCAUAGUCUCCUCAAAACAUGUAUUGGCUGCCAUUAAUAUAUGAUUUACAUUCACUUUAUAUAGUAAUCAACGCUGCUAAACUUCCAGUAUAAUGUAUUCACCUGGCUAUCAGCAUAUGUGCAGGUAAAAAGGUAGACUAGCAUUGUGGAUACAUACUUAUGAUGGGCAUAGAGAAGUAAAGAAUGAGCAUAUGUCAUUGGAUUUGGAUUUAGGCUUGCAUCAUGUAUAGAUGUAUAUAAGUUAGUUAAACUCAACUCGGUAGUACCACUCUGAAACUCUAAUUGUUUUCUAUACAUGUAUAGAGUGAAGUAGCAUAUUGAUUCAUCAUUUUAACUGCACAUGAUAUGAUAGUGGUUUUUUUUAUUAUACUUUAGAAUGAACUAUUUUCAGUAACCAUAUUAUUGAAUUUCUGCCUAUUCCAUUAUGUAGAAUAUAAAUUUUGUUGACAAAAAAUCCCGUAGCAAGACAAUGGUAUCUUUGUGGUUCAUUUCUAAUUUUCAACCUACUUCAGCAACUUAAUUAGACGUCAUCGUCGAUAAUCACUGUUAACUAACCUCAAGGAAGUCUCUGUGGAGCCGAUCGGGAAAAUACAGCUUCAUGUGAGCCCCCACCGACAGCAGAGCCUCGAGCCCCUUCACCGUUCUCGGCAGCAAAAGCUCUGACAACGACUCAAACCCUAGCCUCUUCAUAGUAUCACCUCUCACCGAACACGUCAUCGCCAAUAUCGACCCGGAAACCACCAUGACUCUCACCAGCUCCGGAUACAUCUCCGCCAUCUUGAACGCCACCAUGCCGCCGUAACUGAACCCCACCAACGUACACGUGUCCACCCCGAGCUUCCUCAGCCCCGUAGAGACGCACUCGGCCUGAAGAGCAGGAGACCUGUCGGGCUUGUCGGUCGUCGACCCCCAAAAAACAGGAGGUCGGGAACGUAGACCGAGUAUGUCUUGGCCAGCGCACCCACCUGAAACUGCCACGUCACUAUUCCAUCGGCGGCGAAGCCGUGUAUCAGAACCACUACCGGCUUUUUGGGUUUGGAUAUGAUCUCGGGCUUCUCUCCCUUCUUCGGCUUGUUUAGGGUUUUUUUCGGGACCCAGAAGUUCAUCACCGUGCCGGGCUCAAUCUCCACCGUGUAGGGUACGACUCCGGCCAUUUUCAUCAGGCCAUGCAGCAAGAGCUUCUGUAGUGCUACUAAGUUCACCAUGUUUAUUUUGCUUAACUUGUAGCACUCACAAUCCGAGUACUAGAUCCCUCACAUAGAGUUUAUAAACUAGGAAAGAGUUGAUGAGGUAGGUAGGUUUGUGUUUGGUGUUGGAUUGUUAUAGCUUGUCACUUAUAUGGAGUGGAAAUGUUUGAAUGAUCGAUCGCACUCUCCUACUUGGUUACUUAACUACUUGUAUCCUUCAAUUGGGAAGUCCAGGGGAUUGUCUGCUAUACCGAACAGUAUAGCAUGCCGGCUGAUAGGGUAUGUCACGUGCAAGGCACGUGAAGAGAAAUUCGGAGGAUAACCGAUUGUCUCCGGUUUCCCGUUAUUUCCCCUAUACGUACGAGAGUCAAUUCACGAGCGACAAAAUCAACCCAGUCUUCUCAUUUUUCAGUAGCUCAGGUUCUCUACUGUUGGAAAGCAUCAAUCAAGAUUUCUGGGUUUCUCCCAUCACCAUCAAAAUGGGUUUUGCCUUUCGAUUUCUGGGUUUCCUCCUCCGCAUUGAGUAGACCGAAAAGUCCCCGAGCCGCCGGGAAACGCAGAAGAACGUCGAGCCUCCUCGUCUUCGAUCUCUCUCCAAGUUCCAUGCAUGCGCGAUUUGUUGAUUCAGGCAGGUCGGCGAUGAGGAGGCGACUUGUUUCGUUUCGCACCGGUCGGGCGAUAAGGGGCAGCCGGACGGCGAAGUUACGCCGGAAAGACAGAGGACGGCGUCGGUCGGAGUCUGGGCUCGUCUCAGACUCGACUUGUUGUUUUGACCGAGUGCUGACCAACAAUCCAUUUAAGUAGAGACAAGACUUUCGGAUAUGCUUUUCCAGAGUACAAUAUUCGGAGGAGUAAGGAUUUGGACCUGGGAUUGGAUUUUUCAUUCUGUGUUUCGUUUCCUCCGCUUAUCCCUUCCCAGAAAGAAAACAGAGAGAGAGAGAGACAUAAAGAGACGAAACAGAAGAGUACGGCGAAUUUGUAGAUUUGUUUCUGUACUUUGACUUUUUAACUUGGGCUUCCGUUUUAAGUAUAGGAUUAAAAUUAUAUUUAUGACUAAGACUACAAUUAGUAUCUACGAGAAACUGCAAUUCGGUUUUUGAAAGAGGAGGAAGGGUAACUGUCCAUAGAUUACCUUCUUGCCCUUGGUUUAUGUAUUUAGCGUUUAUCGUAGAUUGUUAUAAGUUUGGGUGUUUUAGGAACUUCAAAAAUUUAACCAUCUUCGUUCCUUUCUGGCUUUAUUAAUAGUAGAUAAAAAGGACAGCCAUGAUUAAAUGAAAGUAAAGAUCAACGCCCCAUAUCUUUUAGCUAUUUUCUCAUUUUCAAAAAUCAUUUUCAUUUUCCAAAUUUCAUAAAGAAUAGCUCGAUGCACCGAAAAAUAUUCCAAAUAUCUUCUAAACUCGUGCCGACGCGUAUUUUAUAAAUUAGGGCCUUAAAUGAAUAAUUGUCACUUCGAUAAAAUCGUAAAAAUAAACCUGAGCACUUCUUUUGAUAUUUCAGAUCGGGGUUACAAAUUUUCAAUAACCCGACGAAAGCUCGAUAAAUUUUUACAGAGCCUUACAAGAAGCAAAAGCGUAAUUAGGGUAGACUGAUUUUAUCGGGGCCCAAAAUUUAUCGGAAAGAUGUGAUUUUUCUAUCAUAGCCGUAUUUCACUAUACCGAUCACAUCCUAUUUCACAAGAUUUUUGAAAAUUUUGCUUCUUAGAUAUAGUUGGUUCACAAACAUACACACUUAGAUAAACUUACUAAACUAGUUAUAAUACAUUGUGAUUCCAAUGACUCAAUUUCACAAAAUCAAAAUUCGACCGUCUAAUGUGAUCAGUGUAGUAAAAUAUGUAUAUGGUAGAAAAUUCAACUGUAUUUGGUAACAUAAAGGGCUCGAUCAAAACGGUCAACCCUAAUUCAAGAUCACUUAUCACACGAAAACGCGCUUACCUACCCCUCUGUGAAUUAUUUUGGUCGAAUCUUCCACACCCACACACUCACAUAUAUGAGAUGUAGCGACACAUGUAAAAAUUUAGGGAAUUUUACCUCCGACGAUGUGGCUCUCCAUAGAGAAGCAAAAACGUAAUUAAGGUUGACUGAUUUUAUCGGGGCUCAAAAUUUACCGGAAAGAUGUGAUUUUUAGAAUAAUGCUACAAUUUCAUUGUUGGUGGAUGAUUGAUUGAGAAUUCGAACCAGUACUGAACAACUAAUCUAACUUGUAGCUAUUUUUUUUUUUUUGUGGCAACAGGACAGAAGAUUCAAAUUAAAGCCAAAUGACAAACCAGCAAAUGGCGUAUAAACAGAGAGAAACACAAACAGCACAGAGUAAUAGAAACUAAACAAACUAAGGCUAAGAAGGAGGAGGUCGGUAACCCAUCACUUCGCAAAAUCAGGAGCAAAGAGUUUGGAGGCCGGCUGGCCCAUUCCUGAGAGCACAAACUCUUGGUUGCAAGCUUGGCCGCAACAUUUGCUAGAGGGUUGGCUUUACGGGGAAUCCAAUUCAAAUGAACACCACUAAAGAGAGGGACCAGAUGGAGAAUCUUCAUGAGCAUAGGAGAGAUUCUCCAGUUCGGGAAACCGAAGGGUCGUUUAACGCCUUUAUAAUCUCUUGGCAAUCACACUCUACAAUUAUUCUUUCCAGUUGUAGCUAGCUAGAUACGUCUUUCUUGCACGUAAUAUCACUUCUUAUGCUUAGUAUAAUCUUGUUUAAUUAAUCAAAAUCUUGUAUUUUCAUGUCAAAAAAUAGCCCACCCUAUCAUAAUCCUACAGACCUACAGUAAUGAAAAUUGACAAAUCCAGAACCAGUUAGUUAUAUUCUAAAAUUGAUAGCGUGAUAGUCAAUCUCCAUCUCUAGCUAUAGGAAACUUACUGUUACAGUCUAGAGCUUAUUUCAAUAAUAAAUCAAGAGAAUUAAUCUAAAGAGGUGGAUACUCCCAUAGUUAGCCAUGUGAUUAAGAUCGUAGCAUGGUCGCAAAUCCACAACUGGCAUUUCAUUUAUGAUGCUUAUGCUUACUUCUAUAAUUACCUAAUACGAUAUCAAACAAACAUAUUCCAUAAGAAAGUUACUCAAGUCUAACUGCAAUCUUCAACCUGCAUAUACUUACACAAGUUUACUGAACAAUAAUUUUGACCAUUAAGAACAAACUAGUACCAUUAGAAUCGACGAGUUCAAACUUUCAGUAGAACUAAACACACAGCCAAAAAAUCUCAACAACAUUGUAAAAGCUUGUGUGAUUCAUAGAGACUACCUACCAAAUUGGAGGGCUACAAGACCCCCUUGGCUUCAAUGUACCUCCACAUGUACCAAGACCCAACAGACCUAUAAGGUUUCCACUUCUCACAAAGCUCUUCCAUCUCCAAAGGCUUAGGCAACUCCUUCAACCCAUACAACAUCUUGACUCCUUUCCUCACACCCAAAUCCCCCACCGGAAGAACGUCAGGUCGUUUAAGCGAAAAUAUCAUGAACAUAUGCACCGACCACGCCCCAAUCCCCUUCACCACCGUCAGCAUCGUCAGCAACGACUCGUCGUCUAUUUCCUUAAUCCCCGAAUCCGACAAAGUCCCAUCACUAAACUUCUCCGCCAAGUCAUGGAGAUAAGACGCCUUCCGGCCCGAAACUCCGAUUUGCCGGAGACUCUGGGGGGAGAGAUUGAGGAGAGUUUUGGGGAGAAUCGACGACUCGCCGCCGCAGAGCGUGACGAAGCGCGUGUAGAUCGACUGGGCGGCCUUGGUGGCGAGCUGCUGGUAGAGAAUGCUUCGCGCGAGGGAUUGGAACGGCGGGCGGUCGGAAUCGAAGGACGGCGGGGUGUAGGAGUCGAUCAGGGACGCAAGUUUCGGGUCGGAGCUCCGUAAGUGAUUUAGGGCGAGGGUAAUUUCGGAAUUGGAGGUUAAUGGGUUUAGGAUUUUGGGGAUUUCCGGGGAAGUUUGGAUGGUCAGUUUGGUGGUGGUGGUGAGUUUUAGGAUUUUUUGGGGUCGGAACGGGAUUUUGGAGGAAGUUGAGGGGUUUU